rnacentral:lncRNA from 1 species
GUUAGAGUUUUUAGAUUUAUAGAUUAGGGUUUAUGGUUUUCAAUUGAAAUCGUGAAAGUUCAUAGGUAGAUUUGAAGGGUCGUGGAUGUGGUAACACGCCUCAGAACACAUACAUUUCAUAUGUCAUAGCGGGAUAGGGUCAUCACCUCAGAAACCCAUCGUGGGGAAAUCAGGUUUCGAGAUAAUAAUUCUUGAUAUGAUCAAGGGUCAAAGUCUAGG